AUCUUCAGGGCAGGGUGAUCGCCGCCUGCGGCGAAAUUCCCGACCGGCGGUAAAGUCCGCGAACCCGCAUCAGGGCCGAUCCGGUUUGAUUCCGGAACCGACAGUACAGUCUGGAUGAAAGAAGA
rnacentral:ncRNA from 1 species